rnacentral:lncRNA from 1 species
AUGAAAUUGUAAAUAAUUAAUUUUGAGCUUGCGAAGACGCGGUACGGUAAAAUGUACACAUGGGUUUGUCGGUGUGUGAGGAGGACGCGCCGCUGUCUCUGACAUGGGUUCUGGACACAGUGUGUCUAUUGGGUGGGGUUUGAGGUGGCACGUCACCACUGUACGUAAAUAUUAGAUUAUUGAUAAGUGCAAUUUGUGCAUUUAUUUAUGUCAUUUUGUUAAACUUUUAUGUCGUCAAUUAAAUAAUUUUUAAUUAACUUGGUUUAAUUUUAUGUUGUUUUUAGUGAUGGAUUCAUUCAGAGCAAAAAUUAGCCAUUGGAAGGAGAGUUUGGGAAUCAAAUUCAACACUUUGAAAAUUCAAGGACUUGACUUGAACUAAAGAAAGGCAUUGGUUACAUAAUUAACGGGGUUCAAGGAUUAAAUUGUAUGAUUUUAAAACAAUUGAGGACUUGGA